GACGAACGCUGGCGGCGUGCUUAACACCUGCAAGUCGAGCGGAGCGGCGAACGGGUGAGUAACGCGUGAGUAACUGCCCCCCUCUCUGGGAUAACAGUUGGAAACGGAUGCUAAUACCUGAUAGUGGGGGAUGAAUCGCGUCCUAUCAGCUUAUUGGUGGGGUAGUGGCCUCCCACGGCGACGACUGGUAGCCGGCCUGAGCGGGCGACCGGCCAACUUGUGCUGAGAUACGGCCCAAACUCCUACGGGGGGCAGCAGUGGGGAAUAUUGCACAAUUGGGGAAACCCUGAUGCGGCAACGCCGCGUGCGGGAUGACGGCCUUCGGGUUGUAAACCGCUUUCAGCCAUGACGCGGUAGUGGCAGAAGAAGCACCGGCUAACUACGUGCCAGCAGCCGCGGUAAUUC
rnacentral:rRNA from 1 species